rnacentral:rRNA from 1 species
CCUCGGGGCGCACCAGUGAGGAAUAUUGCACAAUGGGGGGAACCCUGAUGCAGCAACGCCGCGUGGAGGAUGACGCAUUUCGGUGUGUAAACUCCUUUUAUAUGUCAAGAAAAUGACGGUAGCAUAUGAAUAAGCACCGGCUAACUCCGUGCCAGCAGCCGCGGUAAUACGGAGGGUGCAAGCGUUACUCGGAAUCACUGGGCGUAAAGGACGCGUAGGCGGGUUGGAAAGUCAGGUGUGAAAUCCUACAGCUUAACUGUAGAACUGCACUUGAAACUUCUAAUCUAGAGUAUGGGAGGGGGAGAUGGAAUUAGUGGUGUAGGGGUAAAAUCCGUAGAUAUCACUAGGAAUACCUAAAGCGAAGGCGAUCUCCUGGAACAUUACUGACGCUAAGGCGUGAAAGCGUGGGGAGCAAACAGGAUUAGAUACCCUAGUAGUC